UAAACCUUAGAUUCUGUAUGUGACAGCAAAAUUAGAGUGUAUGAUUGCCUGUGAAGUUGUGGGACGGCAGCUGUGGCAAAUAGGUGCUAGAAUAUUCCUGGAAGGAAUAUUGUAUGUCAGCCAAUAAAUCAUAAGUGGGAGGAUCAGGGGUCUUGCUUGUGCUUCUCUUGCGGAAUCUGUCCUUUCCACAACAUAAUCUCAGAUCAAGAAGACAUGUUAUGGUUGGAUAAUCAUACGAUUCAAAAGUAUUGACUAUUUGCCUGAAGAAGAAUCAAAGAAUUGAAUACAAACAAAGAAAGACAACUGCAAAAUGGAUCAAAGGAAAAUGUCAGAUGAUCCUAUCUAUCAAGGGUUGAUAUACAUGGUGGUUGUCCCUGCCAAAUUAACUUCUCUUGAGCAGAAAUUUUGAUCAGCCAAAUUUUCAACAAAUGAUUUUUUUCUAGGUUAAUAGGUAUUUAUGAAUAGAUACUCGGAUCAUUCUUCAAAUCUCAAAUCUCCUUUAUGUUUAUCCCUGUGCUCCAAGUUCUCUAUCUCAUAAUUGAAAAUGCACCAAAAGUUCUCUCUUAAAUCAUUUGAACCACACAGGUGUUUAGAUACUUUUAUCUUGGGGAUUCAACUCAUGCAAUUACAAGCUUCCAUGAAUUGCAAUAUCAAAUUGGUCUUUUAUCUUUUUAAUUGUUUAAAUGAUUAGCAAAUUGGUCCAUUUUGAAUGAAUUUAUUACUAUUUUAUUUCACACUUUGGUCUCAAUAUACCAAACAAGGAUUGUUCAGUCUGAAUGCAUAUAAUUUAAGUAGAAGAAUGGAAUCAGAAAACCAUGUUGGCAUUGGAUCGGUUAAAGAGAGUUGCAAGUUUUAGGAGUUCAAUUGGCUGUUGGGUAUAUUUUUCAUGAUUGGAUUCACCUUAUAAAUCUUGUACUGUUAAUUAAAUGGAGUUGUUAAUGGUGUCGACAUUUCAUGGACGUGCAUACUGUAUAUUAAAUCCAAUAAUUACAUGAUUUAACCUCUUUUAUAUGACUCUAACGUAACACAUGGCUUCAUCUAACCGAAACCAACUUGUUCGUGACCCAAAUCGUCGAAAAUCGAAUCCGUCAUUCUCGUGUCUUCUUCCCCGCUGAGUGCUGCCGCCGUCUCUCCUCUCUUGUGCUUCUGCGCGCAGGAGCAGACUGCGAGGGAGAGAGACCUGGUCGAAUCUCUGGGCGGAGCUCGUCUUGCACGAGAAGACGACUCAUCUUCUCGAAGAAAACUCGAAGUUUUUUACUGCUGCGACGCUACUUUUUCCGACUAGCCUCAGCUUGGACCCCCCAGUGCUGUUAAGAGAGCACACAUCUCACAUGUUUAUGCGCGGAUGGCGGUGCCGGCGCCGACCCUUCCACGUGUUGGUUCCCGUUGCAGCGCCGCCUGCGAAUCCAACGUCUCCGUCCAAGCAUCUCAAUCACCUCCUCCGCUCCUGCAGAGACGUCCGAUCCCUCCUCCAACUCCACUCCCGCAUCCUGGUCCUCGGGUCCCUCACGGACGACGCCACCUGCAUCCUGCUUCUCAACUCCUACUCCUCCUUCCGCCGAUCGGACGCCGCCCUCGCCGUCUUCAACACCUCUCCCAAUCCGUCCAUGGCCUUGUGGAACUCCAUGAUCCGGUGCUACACUAGGACCGGCGAGCACAAGAAAGCAGUCGAAUUUUACUACCGCCUGCUGCGGCGAGGGCUUGAGCCCGACAAGUACACCUUCACCUUUGCAUCCAAGGCCAGCGCCGGCGCUUUUGACUUGGAAACUGGUGAUAUGAUACGGCAGGAGGUUGCAAGGAGAGGGCUCUCAGGUGACGUCUUCAUUGCCACCGGCCUUGUUGACAUGUAUAGUAAAUUGGGUAUGGUCACGACUGCCCACGAGCUGUUCGAGUCAAUGGCGGAGACGGAUGCAGUUUCAUGGAAUGCCAUGAUCGCGGGUUUCUCCCAGAAUGGCCGUCCUCGAGAAGCUUUGGCUCUUUUUAAGAGGAUGCAGGUGGCCGGUGAAGUCCCCAAUUCGGUCACAUUUCUAAACUUGUUUCCGGCAGUGUGUGAACUCUCUGCUCUUAUUUUGUGCAGGGUUAUUCAUGGUUUCCUCACUAGAAGAUGCAUUCUGUCUAUCGUAUCUAAUGGGUUGAUUGAUACCUACUGCAAAUGUGGGAGCACUGGCAUUGCUCGUAAGAUAUUUGACGGAAUGUCAAGUGGGAAAGAUGAUGUAACUUGGGGAACGAUGAUAUGUGGCUAUGUAUUUAAUGGUUAUUAUGCAGAUGCUCUGGUGCUUUUUGAUGACUUGAAAAGUGAAGAUAUAAAGUUGAACCAGGUAGCGGUGGUGAGUGCCCUCUCUGCUGCAUCUGAGACAGGAGAUCGAGAGAAGGGAGUGAGCAUCCAUAAUUAUGCAACUGAGAAAGGAGUGGAUUCAGAUAUUUCAGUCAAAACAAUGCUCGUCACAAUGUAUGCAAAGUGUGGAGACUUGGAGAAGGCAAAGUCACUGUUUGAUGGGAUAAAAGACAGAGAUGUUGUUGCUUGGUCAGCAAUGAUUUCGGCCUUUGUCCAGGCCAAUCACCCUACAGAUGCAUUAGUUCUUUACCAGGAAAUGCAAAUGGCAGGUCUAAUGCCAAAUCAAGUUACCAUUGUGAGUCUACUUCCAGCUUGUGCAGACUUGUCAGAAUUGAAGUUAGGAAAGAGCAUCCAUUGUUUUGCCCUGAAGUCAAACAUUCACCUGGAUGUUUCGGUGGGGACUGCUCUGGUGGCAAUGUAUGCUCAGUGUGGAUCCUUCACUUCUGCACAUUCUUUGUUUGACAACAUGGAACACAAAGAUAUUGUGACCUGGAAUGCAUUGAUCAAUGGAUAUGCACAAGUUGGCGAGGCAGGAAAAGCUUUGGAGUUUUUUAAUCGACUGCGAUCGGCGGGACACUGCCCAGAUCCUGGUACCAUGGUAGGUGCCCUUCCAUCCUGUGCUCUGUUGAAUGCUCUUGAGAUUGGUGCUUGUCUUCAUGGCCUGGUUAUCAAAAACAGUUUUAAUUCAGAUCUUCAUGUGAAAAAUGCAACCAUUGAUAUGUAUGCCAAGUGUGGGGACCUUCCAUCUGCUGAGUUUUUGUUCUUAGAGACCAAGUCUCAUGAGGAUGUGAUAUCAUGGAAUACCAUGUUUGCAGGAUACAUGAACAAUGGUCGUGCUAACGAAGCUAUAUCUGCCUUUCGCCUGAUGAGAGCUGAGAAUAUGAAGCCUAAUUUAAUUUCUCUAAUCAGCAUAUUACCAGCAGCAGCAUUCCUAGCUGCAUUAAGAGAAGGCUCUGCUCUUCAUUCCUACAUAAUCAAGAUCGGCUUUGUGUCUCAAGUCCUUGUUGGGAACUGUCUAAUUGACAUGUACACAAAAUGUGGAAGGCUUGAUAAUGCCAGAGACUUCUUCAACCAAAUGGAUCAAAAAGAUACAGUAUCGUGGAACGUAAUGCUUGCUGGAUAUGCCAUUCAUGGACUUGGUGAAAGCGCCAUCUCUUUGUUUCUGCAGAUGAAGGAUAGUUACGUCAAGCCAGAUUCUGUGUCCUUUCUUGGUGUACUGUCUGCUUGCAGACAUUCAGGCUUAGUUGCAGAAGGAAAAAAGUUCUUUGAAUCUAUGAUGACAGAACACCAUUUGGAACCAAACGUAGAGCACUAUGCGUGCAUGGUAGAUUUGCUAGGUCGUGCUGGUGAAUUAGGUGAAGCUUGGUCCUUGAUUCAAAGAAUGCCAAUGACUCCUGAUGCUGGUGUAUGGGGAGCGCUAUUGGGUGCUUGUAGAAUGCAUUCUGAUGUAGCAAUGGGGGAAAUUGCACUGGAUCAUUUAGUCAAACUGGAGCCUCAGAAUGUUGCUCAUCAUGUAGUUCUCUCAAAUAUAUAUGCACAGGUUGGAAGAUGGACCGAUGUUAGAAGGAUGAGAUCGGCAAUUAAUCACAUAGGCGUGAAUAAAACUCCUGGUUGCAGUUGGGUUGAUAUUAGGAACACUAUCCAUGCAUUUAGUGUUGGUGAUCAAUCUCACCCACAAUAUGACAAGAUGCGUGAUAUUUGGAACGAUUUGCGUGAGAAAAUGGAGAAGAUGGGUUAUGUUCCUGACACAAGUUCAGUGAUGCAUAAUGUUGAAGAAGAGGAGAAAGAAUCCUUCCUCUCUAGUCACAGUGAAAGGUUAGCCAUAUGCUUUGCUCUUUUAAGCACAGAACCCGGUAUGACUAUCCAGAUUGUAAAGAACCUCCGUGUUUGUGGAGACUGCCACACCGUGUUUAAAUUUGUGUCAGAGAUAGCUAACCGUGAGAUAAUUGUCAGAGACUCCAGCCGUUUCCAUCAUUUCUGUAAUGGCAUAUGCUCAUGCAAAGACUACUGGUGAUUUCAACUCGAAAACAUAACCUGCUCUAUGUAGAUGUCAGGAGAUACCGAUCAAAUCAAUCUCAAAAAGACUGCAGCUUUGAUCAACAAGAGUUGAGAAGUUGGCUGAUAUUUUAGGAACACAGCUAGAUGCUACAUUCUGCUUUCUGUUGCAUCCUUCUCACACCUCGGCCCAAAACAUCACGAAUUUUGCCAUUAUAAAGGAGUACUCGAAGGUGGGAUGGAUGUUGGAUAUAAAGUCUUUAUAAUUGCUCGCAACGGAUGGGUAUCAAGUCCUACAAUAUCAAACUCCAGGAUACAUAUCUCAGUCCCAGAAACAGUGAAGCUGCGGCUAGCAACCUAAAAGGCCAUCCACCCUGGUUAUCACUGAAGAGACAUGCUUCUCAAAGCUGCAGUUUACAUUGUGCAUCAGGGAAUGGCAAACAAAAGAGACGAAUCUCAAUUCAACAGUCGGCAUUUGAGAGCCUAUUCAACAGGGUUGCCAGAAAUCCUAUAAAAUGAAGAUGGGGUUGAAAGCUUUUGAAGAGCCAAUAAUGUUGUCGGGCGAACUAAUGCACGGUUUUACUCUCGCAGCACCGCUAGUUAGGAUUUAUUUGCUAUCAAUUUCUUUCUAAUGUUUCCCAUUUUAAUUUAAUUUUGUUCUUGUUAUAAGUCUGCGGUCAUUCUGUCCAUGGAAUUAGUCUGUUUAUUCAGCUAAAGCUCAUGACAGAGUUUAUAACAGCAAAAUAAUUUUCAUCACUAUAGUCUUUUAAUGGCAAUUUGAUAGAAGCAAUGAUUUGUGGUUCGAAGCUUGUACUUAAAAUCUUUUGUUCAGUACCUGAGUGUUCUUCAUUGCA